CUCAGGAUGAACGCUAGCGGGAGGCUUACCACUUGCAAGUCGAGGGGUAAAGGGAGUAGCAAUACGACCUUGAGACCGGCGCACGGGUGAGUAACGCGUAUGCAACCUGCCCUUUACAGGGGGAUAGCCCGGAGAAAUCCGGAUUAAUACCCCAUAGACCUGUAACCUCGCAUGGGGAAUCAGGUAAAGCUUUCGGGCGGUAAAGGAUGGGCAUGCGUGACAUUAGCUUGUUGGCGGGGUAACGGCCCACCAAGGCUGCGAUGUCUAGGGGUUCUGAGAGGAAGGUCCCCCACACUGGUACUGAGACACGGACCAGACUCCUACGGGAGGCAGCAGUGAGGAAUAUUGGUCAAUGGGCGAGAGCCUGAACCAGCCAUCCCGCGUGCAGGAAGAAGGCCCUAUGGGUUGUAAACUGCUUUUGUGCAGGAAGAAUAGUAUCCUCGUGAAGGUAUUUGACGGUACUGCGCGAAUAAGCACCGGCUAACUCCGUGCCAGCAGCCGCGGUAAUACGGAGGGUGCAAGCGUUAUCCGGAUUUAUUGGGUUUAAAGGGUGCGUAGGCGGUAUAUUAAGUCAGUGGUGAAAUCCUGCAGCUCAACUGUAGCAUUGCCAUUGAAACUGAUGUACUUGAGUUAUCUUGAGGUAGGCGGAAUGUGUAGUGUAGCGGUGAAAUGCUUAGAUAUUACACAGAACACCGAUUGCGAAGGCAGCUUACUAAGGGUACACUGACGCUGAGGCACGAAAGCGUGGGGAUCGAACAGGAUUAGAUACCCUGGUAGUCCACGCCGUAAACGAUGAUGACUCGCUGUUGGCGAUAUACCGUUCAGCGGCUUAGUGAAAGCGUUAAGUCAUCCACCUGGGGAGUACGCCUCGCAGAGUGAAACUCAAAG
rnacentral:rRNA from 1 species